rnacentral:rRNA from 1 species
UGGGGAAUAUUGCACAAUGGAGGGAACUCUGAUGCAGCGACGCCGCGUGAACGAAGAAGGCUUUCGAGUCGUAAAGUUCUUUUAUAUGGGAAGAUAAUGACGGUACCAUAAGAAAAAGCCCCGGCUAACUACGUGCCAGCAGCCGCGGUAAUACGUAGGGGGCUAGCGUUGUCCGGAAUCACUGGGCGUAAAGGGUUCGCAGGCGGAAAUGCAAGUCAGGUUUAAAAGGCAGUAGCUUAACUACUGUAAGCAUUUGAAACUGCAUAUCUUGAGAAGAGUAGAGGUAAGUGGAAUUUUUAGUGUAGCGGUGAAAUGCGUAGAUAUUAAAAAGAAUACCGGUGGCGAAGGCGACUUACUGGGCUCAUUCUGACGCUGAGGAACGAAAGCGUGGGUAGCAAACAGG